rnacentral:lncRNA from 1 species
UGAGAUUGAGAUGAAGUUAACAAUUACAGUACGGAUUAUUAGAACCUUGAUGUAGUUUCUGUUAUGAAUUGGAUCUUGUUCUUGUUUGAAGCUGAUAUAAAAAGGGUAGCACGUUAAUAACAUCUGUGUUGACUGAUUAGUUUAAAUUGAUACAUAAAGAAUUUCUAAAGGAUAAUGUUAGUGUAAAUGAAAGAAUGACAAUGAUAGGCAGUGAAGGCGAAGAAUUAGGCAAGAACCUAAGUUUGGGGGAUAAAGUGGGGGUAUAUAAGCUUCUAAAAAAAUGAUAAUUGAGUCUUGUGGUGGGUUAAGAAGAAUCAUGAAAAACACUCCCCAUAAACACAAGCAUGAAAUAGAGCAUAAAACACACUCACUAUCUAUAAAAAAAAUAUAUAAAAAAGAAAAAAAAAGAGAAGAAUAAAACGGGAAAUAAGAGCAAAAAGCCCCCGUGUUUGAAAAAAGAAAAAGAAAAAGAAAGCAUAAGUACCCUAUUUGGACCCUUAAUAUUGGUAAUUGCUUAGUUUUAGUUGGAACUCGUCUGCUUUUGAAUAUUUUUUUGAGUUUACUCUUUAUGAUUCCUUAUAAGAAAUUGGUUAUGUAUUGAAUUUAAAUCUAUAUCAGUUGGCACUGAUGUUGAUCACACACACACUAUACCAGUGAUAAUGGUUUAAGAUUCGAAGAUUAAUAAGGAAUUAUCGAUUGGUUUUGAUAUGAAGUGUUGUAGUGUUUGCUUGAUUUAUCUGAGGCCG